rnacentral:rRNA from 1 species
GCUUGUCUCAAAGAUUAAGCCAUGCAUGUCUAAGUAUAAACGACUUUAUACUGUGAAACUGCGAAUGGCUCAUUAUAUCAGUUAUAGUUUAUUUGAUGGUCCUUGCUACUUGGAUAACCGUAGUAAUUCUAGAGCUAAUACAUGCAUAAAUCCCCGACUGCUUGGAAGGGGUGUAUUUAUUAGAUGGAAACCAAUCGCGGGGCAACCCAGUAUCUGGUGAUUCAUAAUAACUUUCGGAUCGAUCUUCGGGUCGAUGCAUCAUUCAAGUUUCUGCCCUAUCAGCUUUGGAUGGUAGGGUAUUGGCCUACCAUGGCUUUAACGGGUAACGGAGAAUUAGGGUUCGAUUCCGGAGAGGGAGCCUGAGAAAUGGCUACCACAUCCAAGGAAGGCAGCAGG